CAUGUGGGAUUUCUGGCAUUUACUGAUAGCCUGCUAAUAAUUAGUUUCUUGUGCAAAUCAUUGGACAUUGUAAAAAAGAAAAGCCCAAAGUUGUCUUCUGGGAGUUUUACAGUCCUAAUGGGAAAGGCAGACAAUGAAAGAGUUAAUAAGGUAUUUCAGAACAUAGGUAUGGAAUAGAAGCUGUUGGAGCAUAAAGAUGUUAAUUAAUUUACUCUCUGAGAGUAGCGGUAAGAGGUACUUGGAAACCUACCUUAGAAAAAGUGGGUUUAGAAGGAGCCAUAGAUUUUAUUCUUGUCAUGGGUCCUGGGAAUCUUGUAUUAAUAUUAAUAAACACUUUUGCCCCUUAAGUGUUCUUUAAGCCCAUUUAAGUUGAGAACCAUCAUUAUAGGUGGCAGUUGAAGCAAUGAGAGUGUAUAUAGUAGUUUGAGGAGACUAUGUAGAGUGAGAAAGAAGAAGUCAGAAACCUAAAAAGCGGUAGUGUUUUAGCAAAGAGAGGGUAAGGCCUGAGAGGAGAGUUUCAUUGUUACUAUACAGGAUAUAUGAAUUAGGCAGUGGAAGGUCCCAGAAAAGAAAAGUAGGAAUUGGAAAGAAAAAUGCAUCAAAGGAGGGAUAGGUUGUGAUAGUGAAUUGGGUCAAAAAGGCCAUAGAUUUUAUUCCUGGAUUUCCUAGAAAUUAUCCCCAUGUUCUUUGCCAGAUAAAAAUCAUUACUUUGGGCUUUACAGUAAAUUGUGUCUUGUCUCUUUAAAUCAGGAUUACAUGUGUAUCAUGUACAAAUUGACAUGAGUAUUUUGGAUAUGGCCGCCAAAGUGGUUUAUAGAAAGUAGUCUGUAAUGCAGCAUUGUCAUUGGAUCAAGAUGCUGUUAGAUUAAUGUAACAGUUAUGAUUUAUAUAUAAUAAAUGAUUUCUUUUAGUGUCUAGGGAUAGGAUUGGAGGGACAUGACUUAGACUUUGUGUGAAUAAUCAAGAAAGUAACAAGUUAUUUUAAGCUGGAAGAAGAGGGUGAUAGAAAAGGAGUUACAAGUAUAUCCUUACUGUUUUGCUCAUGCUUCCACAUUUUUAAAAAUAAAUUUAUCUGACAGCACAAAUAGGGGGAGUGGGAGAAGGAGAAAGAGGCUCCCCACUGAACAGGGAGCCCAAUGUAGGCCUUGAUUCCAGGACCCUAGAAUCAUGACCUGAGUUGAAGGUAUAUAUUAGCCGACUGAACCACCCAGGAGCCCCUCAUGCUUCCACAUUUAUAAAUUUCUUAAAUAUAUAUAUAUAUAUAUAUAUAAUUUUAAAAGAUUUUAUUUAUUUAUUCAUGGGAGACAGAGAGAGAGAAGAGAGGCAGAGACACAGGCAGAGGGAGAUGCAGGCUCCAUGCAGGAGCCCGAUGUGGGACUUGAUCCCGGAAGCCAGGGAUCAUGCCCUGAGCUGAAGGCAGAUGCUCAACCACUGAGCCACCCAGACGUCAUUUAAUUUUAUAAUUUUUUAAAAAACCAGUAUGUUUAAGUUAUAAAUACAUACAAUCACAAACUUUGAAUGAAAAGUCUCAGAAUUCUGAUCAAGAUUACAGUAUAUAGGAAGAAAGUGUUAUUCUUUACCCUGAGAUUAACAGUAAAUAAAAAUCACAGCAUUAACCUUUUAAAGAUAAUGUUUAGGCAACAGUAGUUUCAGGGUGCCUGGAUGGCUUAGUUGAUUAAGUGUUGGACUCUUGAUUUCGGGCCCAUGUUAUGAUCUCAGGGUUGUAAAAUGGGUUCCCAUAUUGGGCUCCGCCCUGGAGGCUGCUUAAGAUUCUCUAUCCCUCUCCCUUUGCCCCUCCCCCCACCAUGUGUACAUACACUCAAUCUUUAAAAACAAAACAGAUUAAUUUCUAAAAGAAAAAUUAAACAUAGGUAAGCACAGGAGCAAAAGACUUACAACAUAUUCUAUAUCUCUAUAUAGGAAGGAAGUUAAUUCCUAAAUUUUGGAGUUGACUGGUUGUUGAAAGUCAUAGCAGUCCACCUUCUAAAGAGCUUCUUUUAAAAAAAGGUUUAUUUAUUUAUUUGAGAGAGAGAGAGUGUGUGCUUGGGGUAGGGGCUGGAGGGGCAGAGGAAGAAAAUCUCAAGCACACUCCCGGCUGAGUGUGGAGCCCUGUAUGGGUCUCAACUUCACAACCCAGAGACCUGACCUCAGCCGAAAUCAAGGGUGUGACACUCAACUGACUGAGCCAUCCAGGCCCCCCAAGAGUGCCUUUUAAAAUUCAUUUCUUAGAAUCUUAUCUGGGAUAAUUUUUAGAUACAAUUUGGCAUAACCAAGAAGUCCUUGAUUAUUGAGAAAUUAAGGUGAAAAAUCAUUGCCAUUCACCAUUGCUCAUUACAUAUUUUAUGAUACUGACUUUUGCUCCUUUAUUUUCAUUCUAUGACUGGAGCUUUAUUGAAGAGUUCAACUUAUUGAACAAAUAAGUUGAAAAGAAAACUUCAUUUUAUUAUUUUUCAAAUCUAUAUAGUUGGAGUGAUUCCCUUUCUAUUUAUAAGGCUUCAAUUAUAUACAUUGUUUUGUAUCCAAAAACUAACAUAUACUUGUGAUUGUUCAUGGAAAGGUAAGGAGGAGAUUAAAGAAAUUGAACUUUUUAGCUGGAAGGUAAUGAUAAAUAGAGCAAGUUUCUGGAGGAAGUGUAGGGGUAGACAAAGAAAGACUGGUGGUAUUAAUCUUUAAAAUAAUAGGGAUUACUUUUUUGCUUCAGAGAUGAAAGGGGGAAAAGGAACAAAACCUUUGGGUUUGAGAUGUUGAAAAUUGACAAGACCCCGGCUCUGAAAGCUUCAGUUCUCUCAAUAAGGAGAACUAUUCAUUUAACAGUAUAAAUUUUAGUUGUUUACUAAACAUUUUAUGUAGGACAAUUUAGUUUUGAUACCUCUUUUCUUUUGGGUCACAGUGGAAAAUGUUCUUGAUCGAUAUAUUUUUUUUUCAGCAGGAAAGAUAAUUUUGCUACUUGUAUCUUAAAAAUUUUGCAUUGAGGAACAUGUUCCAUAGUGAAAGUCAUUGAAAGCAAAGUAUGUAAACUCAGAGCAGUUACUGACCUUUUGAUAAUCCCUAAGCCAGAAUUUGAUUCAGAGUGUUACAGCAAUAAACAUUGAAAUGGCAGAAAGACUAGAAGGUAGUAUGAGUGGUCAAAGUCCAACUGACAUUUAAUAUAAAGUAGAUAGGAUGUAAUUUAGGGUGGUGGUGGGAGAUGCUUAGAUUGCAUUGGUUUACCAGAUUGGCAUACUUGUUCUGUUCAAGAUACCAUUUUCUUCCCUUUUCCACCAACUCUUAUACUUUUUCCUUCCUUCUAUUUUUAAAGUGGUAGGCAUGCUCUCCAAUUUCUGACUUUUCGUGAUUUGAUUCUUCAGGAUACAUUUGUUUCAGAGCAUCAUAAAAAGUAUGUUGAAAUUCCUAAUGGACUAAGUGUCUACUGAUAGAUGAAUGGGUAAAGAAGAUAUGGUAUUUUUUACAACAGAAUAUUAGCUCUAGAUAAGAAUGCAGUCUUUCCAUUUGCAACAACAUGGCUGGAUCUAGAGGGUAUAAUGCUAAGUGAAAUAAGUUAGAGAAAGACAAAUACUGUAUGAUUUCAUUCAUAUAUAG
rnacentral:lncRNA from 1 species